AACUAAAAACAAACUAAAAACUACUUCCAAAAAUAUUCAGCUUUGAUAUUAAUGAGUUUUUUGGGUUCAUUGAGAACAUGGUUGUUGUUCAAUAAUAAAAUUAAUCCUCAAAAAUACAACUUGCCUAAUAAUUCUGCACUCCCUGUAUAUAUCAUAUUUAAUAUAAUACCCAAUUGUCCAAAGUUGUACCAAACGUUAAUUAUAUAUUUCUGUGUCGUAAAAAAAUACAACAAAACAAAACAAUGCAAUGAUGUUUAAAGCCUGUAAUAAUAAUAUAACUUAUUAUGAUUAACAGUGUCGGUGAACCUAGAUCCUGCAACUGUACAUGGUAAUAUCACCGUAUCAGAAAAUGGAACAAGUGCCAGAUAUCAGAGAGAACCGUCUGGCACAAGUCUCGAAGAUUUUUGUGUGCGAAGUGUUAAUGCAUUACCCAAAGGAAUUUUGUAUUUGGAUUUGGAGAUAGAAGAUACCUUGUGCACGAUUGGAAUUUGCAAAUUCAUAGAGAGAGAAGAAUCAAGAGUAGUAAACACAAACGACAAGAUAUGUGAAAUACAAAUCUCGAACCUUAAUAGCUCAGACACUAAUAAAGGACCUCAUCGGUUACGAAUGUAUUUACAUUUUAAACUAAAAUACCUGACAAUUCUUAGUCUGGACACCUUGGAAUACCAAACAACAGAAAAAUUCCUAAAAUAUGAUGAAGACAUAUACCUCUUUAUAGCACUAAAGGGAAAUAAUACAAUUAAAUUAUGUUAACGGUAGGAAAAAAAAUCUUUAUGCCAAAGAUCACAGUGUAGAGUCUCUCUUUACAAUAUACUCCACGAGGAUUUCACCAUAAAAUAAGGAACUUGCUGUGCAAGAUGACAUUUUUCUUCAACCCAUAAAUUGCUUUACAAUAUCUAUAAACUUGUAUAAAAUCUUCUGGAUUUUUUUUUUUUUUUUUUUAAAGUGCUACACCAAAAAAAGCUGCCUUUACAGUAUUGACAUUUUAUUCUUUCAACUAUUGAUUCUUUGGUGAAGAUUCAUGUUGCUAAAGAGACGUUAUGAAUGCAGCAUAUUGUAGUUGUUAUGGUGCAAUGAUUCUAAGCAUUGUGUCCUUCUGAUCUCUGAACAUCCUUUCAGCACAUUAUCACUCCUGU